CAACGGUGAUCUUGCCGAGUUCUCCGCACUGCUGGAGACUUCCAGGUGCUUCUUCCCCCUCCCAAAAUUCUUCUCCUCGCGGUCUCCCUCGCCGCCACGCCUGCAUCCGCCACUCUCCGCGCUCGCACACGCCGCCUCCUCCUCCCCGUCACCCCUUCGCCGUGGUGGCUCCCGUCGUCCCACGCCUCCCUCGUCUGCAAGCGCUGACGCCUCCUCCUCUCCAACCCUACCUUCGUCCGCCGCUUCCAUGUCCUCCACAGGGCGCCUCACCUCCUCAGCUUCUUCGCCGACCACAACACCGGCGCUCCCCCUCCCUCCCUCCGGUCGUCGUCACGCUGCGUCUUGGCCCAACCGUUCAGGAAUUUCUGUAAGGUGGACUGUUAUCCAGAGCACGUACUUCAUUUGUACAGCCUUAUACAAGUUGCUAGAUCUAUUACAUUUUCAGACGACGACGACACUAGAAAAAACAAUUCAAAGACGAAUGUUGAAGCGUCACAUGAGGGAUGUGUCCACUGAGAUUGUUGCUGCUCAAGUCCAGCAGACUCUGCGACUAUUAUAGCUUGCCGAUAUCCGAAGGGAUCAGACCGGACAGACCUGAGAUCUGGUUGUGUGCGAGAUUCAGCACGUUGAGGGACACCAGGCUGUCGAGUUUAGGCGGCAUUGUUCCAGCAAAAAAAAAUCAAAAGCAUUGCACUUCUUACUACUGAUACCCCUAUGUCACUACUACCAUACAGGAAAAUAAGAGUACGAUAGAAGAACUUGAAGCGCAUUCACUGGUCUCUUAUUUAAAGUCCAUAAAGCAAAGUUCCAAAAAAACAAAAAGAAACAUUGAGUUGCCUUCACCCGGCUUCUCUUGAGAAAAUACAAGGCGUUAAGAAAUUCUUUAGAAAGGCAUAUUAUUACUACAUAUAGAGCUAGGAGUAGAUCUUCAUCCGAACCCCUCCAACGACGACUAGGUCGGCGUUUUCUCUCCCUGCUGUUUCAGUUCCGGUAUGCAAACUACACGAAUGAUGCCUACAACAAGAGUGGGAACGAAUCCUUGUGGCUGCAGCUGAUAAACCAGAGAGCAUAGACUUAACCUUUGUGCUCUUCUCGACAGGCUUCUUUGCUGUUAGACUUUAACCAAUUCAUCUCAUGUCCCAAGUUCAAUUUUAUGUAAUGAGGAUUGCAUGGUAUUUUUUGGCAAUUUAUCUUUAAUGAACUAUAAUGUAUAGCUGAAGUUGGUUGCAGUUUGAAACAAUGCGACAU
rnacentral:misc_RNA from 1 species